UACGUAGGGGUCAAGCGUUCUCCGGAUUCAUUGGGCGUAAAGAGCGUGUAGGCGGCCAGGUAGGUCUGCUGUGAAAACUCGAGGCUCAACCUCGAGACGUCGGCGGAAACCAUCUGGCUAGAGUCCGGAAGAGGAGAGUGGAAUUCCUGGUGUAGCGGUGAAAUGCGCAGAUAUCAGGAAGAACACCCGUGGCGAAGGCGGCUCUCUGGGACGGUACUGACGCUGAGACGCGAAAGCGUGGGGAGCGAACAGG
rnacentral:rRNA from 1 species